AACGUAGGUGGCAAGCGUUAUCCGGAUUUACUGGGCGUAAAGGGUGUGCAGGCGGGAGACCAAGUGGUGUAUGAAAUCGCCCGGCUUAACCGGGCAGGGUUAUGCCAGACUGGUUUUCUUGAGGACGAGAGGGGAGAGUGGAACUUCUGGUGGAGCGGUGAAAUGCGUAGAUAUCAGAAGGAACGCCGGUGGCGAAAGCGACUCUCUGGCUCGUAUCUGACGCUGAUGUGCGAAAGCUUGGGUAGCAAACGGG
rnacentral:rRNA from 1 species